GACGAACGCUGGCGGCGUGCUUAACACAUGCAAGUCGAACGGAAAGGCCCUGCUUUUGUGGUGUGCUCGAGUGGCGAACGGGUGAGUAACACGUGAGUAACCUGCCCUUGACUUUGGGAUAACUUCAGGAAACUGGGGCUAAUACCGGAUAGGAGCUCCUGCUGCAUGGUGGGGGUGGGAAAGUUUCGGCGGGUGGGGAUGGACUCGCGGCUUAUCAGCUUGUUGGUGGGGUAGUGGCUUACCAAGGCUUUGACGGGUAGCCGGCCUGAGAGGGUGACCGGCGACAUUGGGACUGCGAUACGGCCCAGACUCCUACGGGAGGCAGCAGUGGGGAAUAUUGCACAAUGGGCGGAAGCCUGAGGCAGAAACGCCGCGUGCGGGAUGACGGCCUUCGGGUUGUAAACCGCUUUAGCCUGUGACGAAGCGUGAGUGACGGUAAUGGGUAAAGAAGCACCGGCUAACUACGUG
rnacentral:rRNA from 1 species